GCUACAUCCGGUUUGUGAUAGACGGAGGAACUGAAGUGUAAAUAAAAUAUAUUAAAUAUAUGUCUAGGAAUGUUACAGUUAUAGGGAUAAUAGCUUUUAAAUAUAGCUUAAAUAUAGAGGCAGCAGUGGGGUCAAUAGGAGGAUGUCAGAUCAUUCAAGGAUGAUGUGACAGAAAGUAAAAUAGGUCUACAGAUAUUGUAUGACUUGGGAUAGAACAGGAAAUUGCCAAGACCUUGUAUAUGAAAUAUAAUUUACUAAUUCAGGGUAGCCAGUCUAGGGAAAGACAACGUUUAGGCACGCGUGGCUACCAGCACACGCAGGAAGCACGGAAAACGAGGAAGUAGACAAGUGAGCAUGGCGGUGACGGCCAAGAGAGAUUAUGUGGAAAUAAAUAACGUUAUAACACUUAUAUUUAAAGGACAGACACAGUUUGGUCUGCAAAAAGGAAGGAGUCGUAGAACAAGCAGAAUCAAUGAGUACAUUCAGAAUUGAGUAGAUUCAGAAUUGGCUACAAUAGUAUUAACUUAAAUAGUAAACUAUUUGUCAGUUGGAAACAUCUUACUAGACAUUAUAUUCAGACAAUAGUGCACGUACUAAUUAAAGCUGUGAUUAACAGUAGAGAGACGAUGGAGGGGGGUAUAACGUUUUAGAAAGGCUAUUUAACAUGCCUGUCUACAAUAUAAUUGGAAAACAGUGGAUGGUUAUAACCGGUAGAGGGAGCAGUAGCGCAACACAAAGGACGUCAUCUGCCGGAAGUUACCAGAGAAGAAGGAGAAGGGUAAUGUCUUUGCCGCGCCGCUGGGGACAGUUCAAAUGAAACGAGGAGAAAAUGCACGAUUUCCGUGCUGCCGUCUGAUGCUCCAAUGAAAGAAGUACCAGAAACCAAAGAGAAGGAAAUAACAUUUCACAGGUUCCCAAAAGAUAAGGUGAAAAGAGAGACGUGGGCAUUAACACAGAGGAGAAAUGACUUUGAGCCAAAUGACCGCUCGGUUGUUUGAGGCUUCAACAAAACUGGACAGAAGACUCGUUUAAAGGAAGAAGCCAUCUCGUCAUUUUCUUACAACCUUUACAAAAUUACAAAAAAUUUAAGGGUGGCUUCUUCCACAAACGACUGCUUCACCAAGACCAUAAGAGGAAUCAAGAAGUGGAAGGAGGGGACUGGCAGGAUGAAAGUGAUUAGAUCAAGUCAUGCAGAUGAUGUUCCCUGUGGAGAGGAUGCACCUGAAAGGGACCUAGGCUCCAAAUCAAGAAGAGUAGAGACAAGUUUGCAGCAUGUCGAUCAUGAUUACAACCAAAGACCCCUGCCAUUGGAGGAGCAACUUCAAGAGGCCCAGAAGACCAUUGCAUGCCAAGAAGAGCUUGUGAAACUAAGAAGGAACAGAUUCUUUCUUGAAUGAUUCCAAUGCUAAAUAUGUUCUACAUAGGGUUUAAAGAUUAUAUAACUCUCAUGGCUGUUUUUGUGGCUUUGCAACCUACAGCUGAAAGCAUGUUAGGAUGGGGUCAAGAUCAGCAAAUUAUGAGAAAGGGAUUUAAAGAGCAAAGCCUUACUCUCACAGACCAGUUUUUUCUCUUUCUGUGCCAUUUGAAGCAGGGUUUUUUUAGUGCAGGAUCUUGCUACUCGUUUCAAUGUUUCACAGACAACUGCCAGCAGAAUUUGCAUUAUUUUUACAAACUUUCUCUAUUACAUGUUAGGAUCUAUCCUUGUUUGGCCUUCACGAGAAAAGUAAAUUAACUUAUGC